CGCAGUAGGAUAGGCGAAGCGUGCGAUUGGAUUGCACGUCUAAGCAGUAAGGCUGAGUAUUAGGCAAAUCCGGUACUCAUUAAGGCUGAGCUGUGAUGGGGAGAAGACAUUGUGUCUUCGAGUCGUUGAUUUCACACUGCCGAGAAAAGCCUCUAGAUAGAAAAUAGGUGCCCGUACCGCAAACCGACACAGGUAGUCAAGAUGAGAAUUCUAAGGUGAGCGAGCGAACUCUCGUUAAGGAACUCGGCAAAAUGACCCCGUAACUUCGGGAGAAGGGGUGCUCUUUAGGGUUAACGCCCAGAAGAGCCGCAGUGAAUAGGCCCAAGCGACUGUUUAUCAAAAACACAGGUCUCUGCUAAACCGUAAGGUGAUGUAUAGGGGCUGACGCCUGCCCGGUGCUGGAAGGUUAAGAGGAGUGGUUAGCUUCUGCGAAGCUACGAAUCGAAGCCCCAGUAAACGGCGGCCGUAACUAUAACGGUCCUAAGGUAGCGAAAUUCCUUGUCGGGUAAGUUCCGACCCGCACGAAAGGCGUAACGAUUUGGGCACUGUCUCAACGAGAGACUCGGUGAAAUCAUAGUACCUGUGAAGAUGCAGGUUACCCGCGACAGGACGGAAAGACCCCGUGGAGCUUUACUGUAGCCUGAUAUUGAAAUUCGGCACAGCUUGUACAGGAUAGGUAGGAGCCUUUGAAACGUGAGCGCUAGCUUACGUGGAGGCGCUGGUGGGAUACUACCCUAGCUGUGUUGGCUUUCUAACCCGCACCACUUAUCGUGGUGGGAGACAGUGUCAGGCGGGCAGUUUGACUGGGGCGGUCGCCUCCUAAAAGGUAACGGAGGCGCUCAAAGGUUCCCUCAGAAUGGUUGGAAAUCAUUCAUAGAGUGUAAAGGCAUAAGGGAGCUUGACUGCGAGACCUACAAGUCGAGCAGGGUCGAAAGACGGACUUAGUGAUCCGGUGGUUCCGCAUGGAAGGGCCAUCGCUCAACGGAUAAAAGCUACCCCGGGGAUAACAGGCUUAUCUCCCCCAAGAGUUCACAUCGACGGGGAGGUUUGGCACCUCGAUGUCGGCUCAUCGCAUCCUGGGGCUGUAGUCGGUCCCAAGGGUUGGGCUGUUCGCCCAUUAAAGCGGUACGCGAGCUGGGUUCAGAACGUCGUGAGACAGUUCGGUCCCUAUCCGUCGUGGGCGUAGGAAAUUUGAGAGGAGCUGUCCUUAGUACGAGAGGACCGGGAUGGACAUACCUCUGGUGUACCAGUUGUCGUGCCAACGGCAUAGCUGGGUAGCUAUGUGUGGACGGGAUAAGUGCUGAAAGCAUCUAAGCAUGAAGCCCCCCUCAAGAUGAGAUUUCCCAACUUCGGUUAUAAGAUCCCUCAAAGAUGAUGAGGUUAAUAGGUUCGAGGUGGAAGCAUGGUGACAUGUGGAGCUGACGAAUACUAAUCGAUCGAAGACUUAAUCAAA
rnacentral:rRNA from 1 species